GUUUACACAUCAGGAGAUGCUGUGGCCGUUAUUUCAGAGAUCAAAGAGAAGGUCUGAUGUAUAUGGAUGAUGAAGGAUGCCUCAAUUCAAAUGGAUGGGUG
rnacentral:lncRNA from 12 species